UAUUCCAGUAUGAUGAAAUAUUUUCGGAUGUAAACACAUUUCUUUGUCUGAAAAGCGCAAAAAACCCCAUGUUGAUAUUUCCAUUGCCUUCCUUAUAAUCUGGCCA
rnacentral:snoRNA from 1 species